rnacentral:lncRNA from 8 species
GCGGAUGCGGACGGGUUUUACAAGGCCGACGAUUAUGGAUAUUUCCACUGGAAUGAAAAACAUGGCCAUUGGGAGAGGUGGUCCCUAAACAACAAUGAGUACAAAUAUGAGUAUGCGUACAAGUAUGAGAACGGGAAGGACUGUUACAACCACCAGCAUCAACCUGGUCAAGGGGCCAACUGGGAAAUAGAGGCUGGUUCUUCUCAGAUUGUCGAUGCUCCUGCCCAUCACCCCUUCCCUACUUCCUCUGAUCUCCCUCAGCAGAUCCAACCAGAGCAGCCUGGAGUCCUCACAGCAUUCCCUGGUCCCCUGGCAAACAUUGGGACUCUUGAGGAGAUGAUUGAGGUUGCAUGGCAGAAGUGUCAGGAGUACCAAUCUAUGUUCUUCAUGUGGUACUGUGUUACCCUUUUGUGCACACAGAGUAGGGCACAGGUACGUUUCUUCUUUAGAUGAGAGAGCAUGAGUCAGGAUGGAUGAUGAGGGAGAGGAUGAUUAUUAUGGUUUGCAUUUUCAUAAGUAAGCAAACAGGUAUAUUUUAGGCCAUGCGUCAAUUACAUUGUAAUUGAUUUGUGUUGUUUUUUAACUAACCUUCUGUUCUAUACCACUAUAUAUAGCCCAUCUCUCCACCAGCGAAGCCCAUCGUGGUCGAGCUUCCCAUCUCUCCACCAGCGAAGCCCAUCGUGGUUGAGUCGCCGAUCCCUCCACCACUGAAGCCCGUUGUGGUUGAGCUGCCCAUCUCUCCACCAGUGAAACCUAUCGUGGUUGAGCAGCCCGUCUCUCCACCCGUGAAGCCCAUCGUGGUCGAGUUUCCCAUCUCUCCACCAGUGAAGCCCAUCGUGGUUGAGCCACCGAUCUCUCCUCCAUUGAAGCCAAUCUUGGUUGAGGAGCCCAUCUCUCGACCAGUGAAGCCCAUCGUGGUGGAGCUGUCCAACUCUCCACCAGUGAAACCCUUCGUGGUUGAGCUGCCCAUUUAUCCACCAGUGAAGCCCAUCAUGGUUGAGCUGCCCAUCUCUCCACCAGUGAAACCCAUCAUGGUUGAGCCGCCUACCUCUCCACCAGUGAAGCCUGUCGUGGUUGAACGGCCCUUCUCUCCACCAGUGGAGCCCAUCAUGGUUGAGCUGCCCAUCUCUCCACCAGUGAAGCCUGUUGUGGUUGAGCUGCCCAUCUCUCCACCAGUGAAGCCUGUUGUGGUUGAGUCGCCGAUCCCUCCACCACUGAAGCCCGUUGUGGUUGAGCUGCCCAUUUCUCCACCAGUGAAGCCCAUUGUGGUUGAGCUGCCCAUCUCUCCACCAGUGAAACCUAUCAUGGUUGAGCAGCCCGUCUCUCCACCCGUGAAGCCCAUCGUGGUCGAGCUUCCCAUCUCUCCACCAGUGAAGCCCAUCGUUGUUGAGCCAACGAUCUCUCCUCUAGUGAAGCCAAUCUUGGUUGAGGAGCCCAUCUCUCGACCAGUGAAGCCCAUCGUGGUGGAGCUGUCCAACUCUCCAGCAGUGAAACCCUUCGUGGUUGAGCUGCCCAUUUAUCCACCAUUGAAGCCCAUCAUGGUUGAGCUGCCCAUCUCUCCACCAGUGAAACCCAUCAUGGUUGAGCCGCCUACCUCUCCACCAGUGAAGCCUGUCGUGGUUGAACGGCCCUUCUCUCCACCAGUGGAGCCCAUCAUGGUUAAGCUGCCCAUCUCUCCACCAGUGAAGCCUGUUGUGGUUGAGCUGCCCAUCUCUCCACCAGUGAAACCCAUCAUGUUUGAGCUGCCGAUCGCUCCAGUGGAAGCUGAGUCUCUUCAGAGAUUUGAGCCAAUGAAGGGUCUGACACAGCGAUAUAAAAAAAGAAAGACAGACAUGGAAACUUCAGUUCCACAGGCCAGAACUACUCUUCCUCCUCCCUCCCUAUCGGAUUAUUUCACUCCACCUACAACUCAGAGAUGUCAAAGGGCCCAGGAUUUCUUCCCUCCACCUCCAGUGGAGUCCAUCGUGGUUGAGGAGCCCAUCUCUCGACCAGUGAAGCCAAUCGUGGUGGAGCUGCCCAUCUCUCCAGCAGUGAAACCCUUCGUGGUUGAGCUGCCCAUUUAUCCACCAUUGAAGCCCAUCAUGGUUGAGCUGCCCAUCUCUCCACCAGUGAAACCUAUCAUGGUUGAGCAGCCCGUCUCUCCACCCGUGAAGCCCAUCGUGGUCGAGCUUCCCAUCUCUCCACCAGUGAAGCCCAUCGUUGUUGAGCCAACGAUCUCUCCUCUAGUGAAGCCAAUCUUGGUUGAGGAGCCCAUCUCUCGACCAGUGAAGCCCAUCGUGGUGGAGCUGUCCAACUCUCCAGCAGUGAAACCCUUCGUGGUUGAGCUGCCCAUUUAUCCACCAUUGAAGCCCAUCAUGGUUGAGCUGCCCAUCUCUCCACCAGUGAAACCCAUCAUGGUUGAGCCGCCUACCUCUCCACCAGUGAAGCCUGUCGUGGUUGAACGGCCCAUCUCUCCACCAGUGGAGCCCAUCAUGGUUAAGCUGCCCAUCUCUCCACCAGUGAAACCCAUCAUGGUUGAGCUGCCCAUCUCUCCACCAGUGAAACACAUCAUGUUUGAACUGCCGAUCGCUCCAGUGGAAACUGAGUCGCUUCAGAGAUUUGAGGGUCUGACACAGCGACAUAAAAAAAUAAAGAAAGACGUGGAAACUUCAGUUCCACAGGCCAGAACUACUCUUCCUCCUCCCUCCCUAUCGGAUUAUUCCCCACCACCUACAACUCAGAGAUGUCAAAGGGCCCAGGAUUUCUUCCCUCCACCUCCAGUGGAUUCCAUCGUGGUUGAGGAGCCCCUCUCUCGACCAGUGAAGCCCAUUGUGGUUGAGCUGCCCAUCUCUCCACCACCUAAUCCCAUUGUGGUUGAACGGCCCAUCUCUCCACCAGUGAAGCCCAUCGUGGUCGACCAUCCCAUCUCUCCACUAGUGAAGCCCAUAAUGGUUGAGCUGCCAAUCUCUCCACCAGUGAAGCUCACAGUGGUUGAGCUGCCCAUCUCUCCACCAGUGAAGCCUGUUGUGGUUGAGCUGCCCAUCUCUCCACCAGUGAAGCACGUCAUGUUUGAGCUGCCGAUCGCUCCAGUGGAAGCUGAGUCGCUUCAGAGAUUUAAGCCAAUGAAGGGUCUGACACAGCGAUAUAAAAAAAGAAAGACAGACAUGGAAACUUCAGUUCCACAGGCCAGAACUACUCUUCCUCCUCCCUCCCUAUCGGAUUAUUUCACUCCACCUACAACUCAGAGAUGUCAAAGGGCCCAGGAUUUCUUCCCUCCACCUCCAGUGGAGUCCAUCGUGGUUGAGGAGCCCAUCUCUCGACCAGUGAAGCCAAUCGUGGUGGAGCUGCCCAUCUCUCCACCAGUGAAGCCCAUUGUGUUUGAGCUGCCCAUCUCCCCACCACCUAAUCCCAUUGUGAUUGAACGGCCCAUCUCUCCACCAGUGGAGCCCAUUGUGGUUGAGCUGCCCAUCUCUCCACCAGUGAAACCCAUCAUGGUUGAGCUGCCCAUCUCUCCACCAGUGGAGCCCAUCGUGAUGGAGCUGCCCAAAUCUACACCAGUGAAACCCAUCAAGGUUGAUCAGCCCAUCUCUCCACCAGUGAAACCCAUCAUGGUUGAGCUGCCCUUCUCUCCACCAGUGAAACCCAUCAUGGUUGAGCUGCCCAUCUCUCCACCAGUGAAACCCAUCAUGGUUGAGCUGCCCUUCUCUCCACCAGUGAAACCCAUCAUGGUUGAGCUGCCCAUCUCUCCACCAGUGAAACCCAUCAUGGUUGAGCUGCCCUUCUCUUCACCAGUGAAGCCCAUCGUGGUUGAGCUGCCUAUCUCUCCACCAGUGGAGCCCAUCGCUGUUGAGCUGCCCAUCUCUCCACCAGUGAAGCCUGUUGUGGUUGAGCUGCCCAUCUCUCCACCAGUGAAGCCUGUUGUGGUUGUGCUGCCCAUCUCUCCACCAGUGAAACCCAUCAUGGUUGAGCUGCCCAUUUCUCCACCAGUGAAGCACGUCAUGUUUGAAUUGUCGAUUGCUCCAGUGGAAACUGAGUCGCUUCAGAGUUUUGAGGGUCUGACACAGCGACAUAAAAAAAUAAAGAAAGACGUGGAAACUUCAGUUCCACAGACCAGAACUACCCUGCCUCCUCCCUCCCUAUUGGAUUAUUUCCCUCCACCUACAACUCAGAGAUGUCAAAGGGCCCAGGAUUUCUUCCCUCCACCUCCAGUGGAGCCCAUCGUGGUUGAGGAGCCCAUCUCUCGACCAGUGAAGCCAAUCGUGGUGGAGCUGCCCAUCUCUCCACCAGUGGAGCCCAUUGUGGUUGAGCUGCCCAUCUCCCCACCACCUAAUCCCAUUGUGAUUGAACGGCCCAUCUCUCCACCAGUGGAGCCCAUUGUGGUUGAGCUGCCCAUCUCUCCACCAGUGAAACCCAUCAUGGUUGAGCUGCCCUUCUCUCCACCAGUGAAGCCCAUCGUGGUUGAGCUGCCUAUCUCUCCACCAGUGGAGCCCAUCGCUGUUGAGCUGCCUAUCUCUCCACCAGUGAAGCCUGUUGUGGUUGAGCUGCCCAUCUCUCCACCAGUGAAACCCAUCAUGGUUGAGCUGCCCAUCUCUCCACCAGUGAAGCACGUCAUGUUUGAGUUGUCGAUUGCUCCAGUGGAAACUGAGUCGCUUCAGAGUUUUGAGCCAAUGAAGGGUCUGACACAGCGAUAUAAAAAAAGAAAGAAAGACAUGGAAACUUCAGUUCCACAGGCCAGAACUACUCUUCCUCCUCCCUCCCUAUCAGAUUAUUCCCCACCACCUACAACUCAGAGAUGUCAAAGGGCCCAGAAUUUCUUCCCUCCACCUCCAGUGGAGCCCAUCGGGGUUGAGGAGCACAUCUCUCCACCAGUUAAUCUCAUCGUGAUGGAGCUGCCCAACUCUCCACCAGUGAAGUCCAUUGUGGUUGAGCUGCCCAACUCUCCACCAGUGGAGCCCAUUGUGGUUGAGCUGCCCAUCUCUCCACCAGUGAAUCCCAUUUUUGUUGAGCUGCCCAUUUCUCCACUUGUGAAGCCCAUUGUGGUUGAGCUGCCCAUCUCUCCACCAGUGGAGCCCAUUGUGGUUGAGCUGCCCAUCUCUCCACCAGUGAAUCCCAUUUUUGUUGAGCUGCCCAUUUCUCCACCAGUGAAGCCCAUUGUGGUUGAGCUGCCCAACUCUCCACCAGUGAAGCCCAUUGUGGUUGAGCUGCCCAUCUCUCCACCAGUGGAGCCCAUUGUGGUUGAGCUGCCCAUCUCUCCACCAGUGAAUCCCAUUUUUGUUGAGCUGCCCAUUUCUCCACCUGUGAAGCCCAUCAUGGUUGAGCUGCCCACCUCUCCACCAGUGAAACCCGUCGUGGUUGAACGGCCCAUCUCUCCACCAGUGAAGCCUAUCUUGGUCGACCAUCCCAUCUCUCCACCAGUGAACCAACAGGAUCAACCUGGUCAAGGGGCCAACUGGGAAAUAGAGGCUGGUUCUUCUCAGAUUGUCGAUGCUCCUGUCCAUCUCCUCUUCCCUGCUUCCUCUGAUCUCCCUCAGCAGAUCCCACAGGAGCAGCCUGGAGUCCUCACAGCAUUCCCUGGUCCUCUUGCAAACAUUGGGACUCUUGAGGAGAUGAUUGAGGUUGCAUGGCAGAAGUGUCAGGAGUACCAAUCUAAGUUCUUCAUGUGGUACUUGUUUACCCUUUUGUGCACACAGAGUAGGGCACAGGUACGUUUCUUCUUUAGAUGA